rnacentral:tRNA from 1 species
GUUGUUGUAGUAUAGUGGUGAAUAUCCUUGCUUGUCACGCGGGAGACCUGGGUUUGAUCCCUGGCAACGGUG